GUCAUGAGACCAGCUACAGGAAGAAAUAGAAGACAAUUAAGUCCUGCUGGGUUCUAAUUUGCUCACUACCCUGGAAGCAACCCAGUGUCUCCUUUCUAGCUUCCACUAGGCUGUUCUUCAUUCCCUGGAGUAGAACUGUUUCCCCUUUCCGUUCCUUUGGCCUCAGUGUUUCCUGCCUGCGUGUGGAGGAACUGUGGUCAGCCAGCUUCCUGUUCCUGCCACCUUGCUUUCCAUGACUGCUGCUGUGUCUGCUCCAUCAUGAUGAACUCUAUCCCUCUAGAAUGGCUGAGAUCCUAGCAAGGGAAAGAGGUGCCUUCAACUCCCCAUCUUGGAAGAUCUGCUUCUGUUCCUGCAGUGUCGGUUUUUGCCUCAUUGGCUCCCUUCAAGCUCCAGGACAGGAAACAGAAAGGGCUCUGCUCCUGCCCCAGAAAAUGGCCACUCCGGUAAUCCAAGAUAGCAACUUGAAUGGAUAAAAACAGAAGGGCAAGGGUUAUAGGUGAGUUUGUGGUGGACUGUCAUCGUGUGCAGUACCACGGGAAGGAAAGCCAUGGGAUCCCACUUCUGUCACUAAAGAGGUAAGGUAAAAGAGUCAACUAUUCUCCUCUACCUCAAGCUCCUCCACAUUGACAUACUUCCCAUGAUCAAGUUAAGUAACCAUGGACCAGACUCUCUGAAACAAGCUGAUGAAGUCCAUCACUUCAGUUUCAUCAUACUCUGACUAUGCCUUCCUCCAUACCCAACCUUUUCCUUCCAGAGGCCUCUACAAACCCGCCCUGUACAAUGUGGAUCUCAAGAGCCAAACCACAGUUCCAGAGUCUGAUCUAUUCUGUGUUAACUGUGUUAGAAUAAGAAUGCUCAAAAGUUACGUGUACCCUCAAGAAGCAGGCCCCUCUUCCAUUGAAGGACCAAAAGAGGAUGUGCUCUCAUUUCCCAGGGGUGUUGUAUCAGGCCCUGCUUAACUACUAUAUAUCCGGAGAUUUGUUCUUUGCUGUUCUAUCGCUAUCACCCAAAGGAAGAAGGGAACUUUGACCACUCUUCCUGAGAAUAAUUAAUGAGUGACCUACCAUGUUUGGAAUGUACAAUGGCGUGAAUUGCAAAGAAUGUGCCUUCCCUUGCCAGGGGGCAGCAGAAAGUAGGCAGCUCAUUCUUAAGAAAACAUCUCUGAUUGGCUAUCUCUCAUAAUCAUGAGCUCUGUUUUGGAUAUAAGAACCAGGUUUAAAUUCAACCUGAAGCAGAAAUUCUGUUUCAAUAGACAAGCAAAAACACAGCCUAAGGGGGUGGAGGUGGGAAUGCUAUCAACUAUUUGCAAAACGUCUGCAUAUCUCCCCUUACAGACAUCGCUGUUGGCAAUAAUUCUUCUGUUGCUGAUGUCCACUAGAUUAUAAGACCCUGCAUGAAUCAAUCGCCUGAAAAAAUAACUCAUGGUCCCCCAGGUAAAAAUCAUUCCUCUUGUUUGGUGCUUACUCAUCAAGAAGGGACUUCGCUUCUUAAAUGAGAAAGCUGAAACCCACAGUACCUAAGGCUUCUUCCAGAACUCACUGAAGCUGCUUUCUACAGCAACAGACAAAAGCAUUUGAAACCUCCCCUGUACCAUCUUUCUGGCGACAUGAGACAUGGUUCUGCCUAAUGCUUUCUAGGACUACACGAAGGGAGGAAUGGCUGGGAAGGGCAUUUCUUUGCUCAGAAAGAAAGGUCAUCUACAAGAAGCUUGUGACUUUCUUUUAUUUGAAAGCAUUUAUAUGAAUGCAUAAUCUAGCCAUUUCAGAACCAAAAAACAGCAGGCCUGAAAGCCGAAACCAAUAUCUUGAAGAUGUCUCCACAGAACAAUAAAGGGAAACCCUGAGCCUUUUAUGACUCCUUUGCUGCAGACCUUCUGUUGAGUAA